UCUUUUUCUUUAGAGAUUUUGAAGUUUCUGACAUACUCUUUGUAAGAAUUUCAAAAUUCUCAUCAGUGGAACAUUGACAGUAUGUAAUUUCAGUAUAUUUUCUUCUCUUUACUGCCUCAGUACAUUCGUUAUCCCACCAAGGAGGAGAAGGAAUAAAACCCAAAGAGCUAUUUUUACUUGGAAAAAUCUCAUUGGCAACCUCAAUAAAGAUUCUUGCUAAAGAAUCUGCACACUGAGAUUCUGUACCUGGAUUAAUUUUUGGAAGUGUUGGAAAUGAUAAUAAUAGUGGGAGGUGAUCACUACCAAAAGUAGAUCGUAAUGGAUCCCAGGACAAAGAAGAAGCAAGAUUAGGUGUAGUGACUGUUAAAUCUGGAGCACUUGGGCCCUCGUCAGGAUGAGAACGUCGUGUAGGACGACCAUCAUUUAAUAUACACAAAUUCACUGAAUCAAAUAUAUCUAUUAAUGUGUUACCAUAACUAUUAGAAGAUAAGUAACCCCAGGAUUCAUGGCGACAGUUAAAAUCACCAAGGAUCAUAAAAGGCUUCGGAAGAAUGGAAAUAAUAUCUUUAAUUUCAUUUAAGAUUGCAGAAGAAGGAUGAGGUAUAUAAAUAGAUACAUAACAGAUAUUUUCAACUAAAGCAGCAAUAAUAGAAAAAUCAUUACUGUGAGAAGGAAUAGAGAAGAGAGAAAAGGAAAGAGGGUGUUUCACAAGCAUGGCUACUCCGCCAUGCCCAUCCACACGAUCUUCUCUGAGACAUGAAUAACCACGAAUCUUAAAUAAAGAUCCUGGUUUCAACCAUGUCUCUUGAAGAGCACAGAUAUAAGGUUUAUAUUUAUUUAAUAAAUAAAUAAGAUCACUUUUUUUAGGAGUGAUGCUUUGACAAUUCCAUUGAAGAACUUUGUCCAUUAUUUGGUUUAUAAAUUUGAGUAAUUGCAGAAACUAAUAAGGCAGCGUUGGACGGUGAAAAUUCAUUCGAUUGACUAAGAGAUUUUAUAAGAGAAAUAAUUAAAUCAAUUACUGAGGAUUCCAAA